rnacentral:lncRNA from 1 species
GUUUCAUCCCAUUAUAAUAUGAUAGAAUACAGGGUAGUUUAUCUCUAUUUUUUUUUGUAUUUGCUGAGAGUUGCUUUGUGGCAUAAUAUAUGGUUUAUUUUAUAGAAGGAUCCAUAUACUGCUGAGAAGAAGGUGUAUUCAUAUAUGUACAGUUUAAUAAAUAAUUAUCAAAUGCCCAUGUAAAUAAAUCCAGGCAUAAAAUAUAAUAUUGUUAGGAGUUUGGGAACCUCUGCUUACACAUUCCUAGUUAUUACUCAACAUACUGAAAGAAAGGUAACCACUAUCCUGACUUCUUUGAAAAUUAUUUCUUGUUUUCUUUGUUUUUUUAAACUUAGUAUGAUCCUUAAUUCUAUAUUUGAGUUUUGCCUCCUUUUGAACUUCAUGCCAAGGAAAUUGUAGAGAUGUGUUCCAUUGGGUCUGGCUCUUUUUGCUCAGCAUUGUAUUUGUGACAUUCAUCGAUGUUCUUUCAUUUAGCUGUAGUCAGUUCACUUUCAUUUCUGUGUAGUUUUUAUUGUAUUUUAUUAUACCACAGUUUGUUUAUCCAGAAUACUAUUGAUGGACAUUUGGAUUGGUUCUGUUUGAGGCUAUCAGUAGUCAUGCUGUAGUGAAAAUUUCUGUGUGUCCCCUGGGUGUAUGGACAUGAUUCUUCCAGCAGUGAAAUCAGUAUGCUUCCAACUUUAGUACCUAUGCCAAACUAUUUUCCAAAGUGGCUGUGCCAGUUUAUACAAAUCCCCUCCUGACUCAGUCAGCAUAGGAGAGUUAUAUUGCCCCACAUCCUUAUCCACAUGUGGUAGUAGUCUUUACUUUCAAUCAUUCUGGCAGAUGUGUUUAUUAUCAUAUUUUUAAUUUAUAUUUUCCUAAUUAUUAAUGAGGUUGAAUACCUUUUCAUAUGCAUUUUGACCAUCAUUUCUGAAGUGUCUUUCCACCAUUUUUGUACUGUGUUGUAUGUUUGUUUUUAAUCCUUUUAGAGGUAUUAACAGACAACAGGUAUGAAUUCUUUAUCAGUUAUGUGUUUCACAUUUAUCUCCUUCCAUUCUAUGACAUGUUUCUCAUUCUCUUAAUGGUAUAUUUUAAUUGACAGGAAGUCUUAUUUAUAGCCAAAAUUAUCCAUUUUUUAAUGAUUGGUACUUUUUGUGUCUUUUUUUUUAAAAAAGUAUCUG